rnacentral:lncRNA from 1 species
GUUGUUUAUAUUUUAUUCUAUUUAUAAUUUAUUGGGCUUAUGUCACUUCAAGGUUCAUGAGACAAAAUAUAAAUAGAGAGCCAAGGCCACAAGCUAGUUACGUUCUAAUUAUGCUUCUCACACACUCUACUCACACUAUAAUCACUCAGAAAUCCCAUUGUCAAUUCUCUCCUAGUGAGAAUCACUCUACUAAAAAUUGAGGUUCUUCCACCACACACGCCUAACUUGAGCGUCGGAGAGCCUUUUGCAGGU